GGGGCAGCGGGGAGGUAGCAAUACUUCCGCCGGCGACCGGCGCACGGGUGAGUAACACGUAUGGAACCUGCCCGUAGCAGGGGGAUAAGCGGAAGAAAUUCCGUCUAAUACCGCGUAAUAACUCCGAGGGGCAUCCCUUGGGGUUUAAAGGGUAACACCGGCUACGGAUGGCCAUGCGGCGCAUUAGCUAGUUGGCGGGGUAACGGCCCACCAAGGCGACGAUGCGUAGGGGUUCUGAGAGGAAGGUCCCCCACACUGGUACUGAGACACGGACCAGACUCCUACGGGAGGCAGCAGUGAGGAAUAUUGGUCAAUGGGCGCGAGCCUGAACCAGCCAAGUCGCGUGAGGGAAGACGGUCCUAUGGAUUGUAAACCUCUUUUGUCGGGGAGCAAAAGACGCCACGCGUGGCGUUCCGAGAGUACCCGAAGAAAAAGCAUCGGCUAACUCCGUGCCAGCAGCCGCGGUAAUACGGAGGAUGCGAGCGUUAUCCGGAUUUAUUGGGUUUAAAGGGUGCGCAGGCGGAAGAUCAAGUCAGCGGUAAAAUUGAGAGGCUCAACCUCUUCGAGCCGUUGAAACUGGUUUUCUUGAGUGAGUGAGAAGUAUGCGGAAUGCGUGGUGUAGCGGUGAAAUGCAUAGAUAUCACGCAGAACUCCGAUUGCGAAGGCAGCAUACCCGGCGCUCAACUGACGCUCAUGCACGAAAGUGUGGGUA
rnacentral:rRNA from 1 species